GACAGAGGGUGCAAGCGUUGUUCGGAAUUACUGGGCGUAAAGGGCGCGUAGGCGGUCCGCUAAGUUCGGCGUGAAAUCCCCUGGCUCAACUGGGGAACGGCGCUGGAUACUGGUGGACCCGAGUACCGGAGAGGAGAGUGGAAUUCCUGGUGUAGCGGUGAAAUGCGUAGAUAUCAGGAGGAACACCGGUGGCGAAGGCGGCUCUCUGGACGGAUACUGACGCUGAGGCGCGAAAGCGUGGGGAGCAAACAGG
rnacentral:rRNA from 1 species